AUAAAACUAACAACAUUUAUAUUAUAAAACUAAAACAAAAGUAUAUUAUAAAACUAAAAAUAUAAUAAACCUAAAUCUAAAAGUUAUAUCUGUAAAUAUAAAAUUUUACAAAACAAAACUAAACUCCUAUUGUAAAAAAACUAGUAGAAAAAAAAUUGCAGGGAGAGGAAAAUUAUGGUGGCGAUUGUGGUGGUCACCGGAACAGUAACGAGACGGAGUAGCUUGUAAGGGUGGUGUCUAUUGUUGACUGAGAACAAAAGAUUAAAGGUGAAACAGAGUAUUUAUGAGAGUUAUUUUGGUAGGAGAAGAAAAAAACAAGGUGAGUUGAUUUGUCAAAGAAAUGAUAGAAAAAUAAAACAUGAAUUUUGAGAGAGUGGUGAAAAAAAGAAGGUGACACUAUGAUAAUCUCUGAAAACCUUGAUAUCUACCUUUCUUUUUCAUUAUCUUUUUCAAUUUGUGAAUGAAGUGGAAAGAGAGAUAUUU
rnacentral:lncRNA from 1 species